UUUUAAGUCCGUGUCAUGCAGUGAGACCUGCUUUUGUUAAAAUGAGAUAAUAUGAUAUGGAAAUCCACUUGAGUACUAUGACGCUUGGCCCAGGGAAUCAUCAUAGGAAUCCCUGGAGUCUACAUGCCUACCUUUUGACGUUGUUGCCCUAGAGGGUGCCAAAAGGAAGCAGUGGAAGUAGAGAUCUGAAGAAAAAUACAUGAGGUCCUGAUCUCAGGGUGACAUCUUGCUCUUCCAGCCCUACCAAACGUCUUGAGACUGGACUUCCUAUUUCAACUCCCUCUCUGCUGGAAAUAUCCUGAAUGCUUCCCAUGCUUCUUACUGGAAUCUGACGGAUACAGAAGAAAUAAUACAUCAGGCCCCUCUCCCCGGAAGACAAGCUGGAAGAACAAGAGGACAACAACCCAAGCGUCCCCAUAAAACUGUACAACCCCAACACCAGAGGAAAAUAGUAUAUUAAGU